CUCUUCUCUCUCUCUCAAUUCAAAUUAACGUUCUCUUCUCUCUCUCUCUCUCUCUCUCUCUCUCUCUCUCUCUUCAUUUUCGAUUUCACAAUUCUCAACAUGUAAUCGGUGGCGGUGUAGAAGGUGUAUGCGCGAGGUUUUGUGGCGAUGGAGACCGCAAGGAGCAGAUUACGGUGGUUCGAAUGAGACAGCGUGAGGUGGAGGUGGAGGAAGGGAAAGAGAUAGGGAAGAAGAUGAGAGUUUUUUCGUCGUGGUGGUGGAAGCGGAGGGGUUCAGAGACGAAGUCGGUGGUGCCAGCGAGCGAUUAUACCAGAAAAUUGCAGCCACAUGGUCAAGACCCACGAAUACAACGUCGUUUUAGGAUGGUUGAAGUUGGAGAAGAAAGAUGUGACACCCGCUAGACGCGUAUGAAGUCCUUGACGUUUCACGGAAUUCUACUAGAAGUCAAGGUAAAUGGGAAAAUGGUGCGUGUAAAUUGAACAGAAAGAAAAUAGAGAUUAAUGAGUUGGCCUGCGUUGUGUAUGUUUGGAAAGGAGAUUUUCAAAACAAUUAUAGAGGUGGUUGGAAUGAUAAUGCCGUUGAAUGAUGAUAGGCCAUUCGAUGAUUUCAGUCGGGAACCAUUGAACUACAAGGAAAAUGUGUGUUGUGAAGCUCCCAAUUCAGCAACAAGGAAGUUCCAGCUGUAGGUUCCAAAAUUGGAAAUUUGGGGAUUAUGCUGGUGCUAAGGGUCGCGGUUUCAAGGUGGAAAAUGUAUGUCCUAGUUUCAAGCAGAAGAAUGUUCUGGCUGAAAGUUCUACACGGCAACAUGGGGAUAACACUGGUGAAAAGGAAACUUAUGGAUAACAAUCGUGCACAGGAUGAUGGUUCCAAGCGUGACAUUAGGGGAGCCACAUGAGAUAAAUACAUGACGAUGGAUAAUGGGGUAAGAAGACCCUUGAAAUCAUGAAAACAUGAGGCCAAUGCAAAGUCAAGUUCAGUCAAAUCUCUAGUCCAAAGACCUGGAUUAAAACAACCAUCAGGGUGUGUGGCUUCACCUAAAAUGGCAUCAAUCCCUGUUGAAGGAUCUAGUUUUGAAAUACAGUCUCGACAUGUCUCGGCCUCACUGUUGCAAGAGUACAAAGGCAAAGAACAUCACAAGUUUAAAAAUAUUGUGGAAAAGAAUAAUCAGCCACAAUUGGUGAAUGCUUCAACAGGCUCUAAUAUGACAGACCCUGCUGGUUCUAUGACUAACAACCAAACAAAAGUUGUGAAUUCUGAUUAUGUAGCAAUUGAAGUUGUUACAGAACCACUUGCAUCCGCACUGCCAGAUGCAUCAGUUUCAAGUUUUGAACUCCUAACUGAACAUGAUCUACAUACUGAAGUUGAACCUCAAGUAUUGGAAGCUGCAGUGGAGAUUGAUGCUCUUGCAUAGGUUAGUACUGAAACUGAAGCUGCAUACAUAAGUUGUCAAUCGGAAGUGGAGAUGGAUGUUCUCAUCACCGAGUCAGAGACAGCUAAGUUGCCGCAGAUACCUGUCUGUCUUACAUGUGGCGAUGUAGGCUUUGAAGAGACGUUGGUGUAUUGUAACAAAUGUAAAGCUUGUGCACUGCAUAGAAAGGAAAUUUUCAAAACAAUUAUAGAGGUGGUUGGAAUGAUAAUGCCGUUGAAUGAUGAUAGGCCAUUCGAUGAUUUCAGUCGGGAACCAUUGAACUACAAGGAAAAUGUGUGUUGUGAAGCUCCCCGAUUCAGCAACAAGGAAGUUCCAGCUGUAGGUUCCAAAUUUGAAAUUUGGGGAUUAUGCUGGUGCUAAGGGUCGCGGUUUCAAGGUGGAAAAUGUAUGUCCUAGUUUCAAGCAGAAGAAUGUUCUGGCUGAAAGUUCUACAGGGCAACUUGGGGAUAACACUGGUGAAAAGGAAACUUAUGGAUAACAAUCGUGCACAGGGUGAUGGUUCCAAGCGUGACAUUAGAGGAGCCACAUGAGAUAAAUACAUGACGAUGGAUAAUGGGGUAAGAAGACCCUUGAAAUCAUGAAAACAUGAGGCCAAUGCAAAGUCAAGUUCAGUCAAAUCUCUAGUCCAAAGACCUGGAUUAAAACAACCAUCAGGUUGUGUGGCUUCACCUAAAAUGGCAUCAAUCCCUGUUGAAGGAUCUAGUUUUGAAAUACAGUCUCGACAUGUCUCGGCCUCACUGUUGCAAGAGUACAAAGGCAAAGAACAUCACAAGUUUAAAAAUAUUGUGGAAAAGAAUAAUCAGCCACAAUUGGUGAAUGCUUUAACAGGCUCUAAUAUGACAGACCCUGCUGGUUCUAUGACUAACAACCAAACAAAAGUUGUGAAUUCUGAUUAUGUAGCAAUUGAAGUUGUUACAGAACCACUUGCAUCCGCACUGCCAGAUGCAUCAGUGUCAAGUUUUGAACUCCUAACUGAACAUGAUCUACAUACUGAAGUUGAACCUCAAGUAUUGGAAGCUGCAGUGGAGAUUGAUGCUCUUGCAUAGGUUAGUACUGAAACUGAAGCUGCAUACAUAAGUUGUCAAUCGGAAGUGGAGAUGGAUGUUCUCAUCACCGAGUCAGAGACAGCUAAGUUGCCGCAGAUACCUGUCUGUCUUACAUGUGGCGAUGUAGGCUUUGAAGAGACGUUGGUGUAUUGUAACAAAUGUAAAGCUUGUGCACUGCAUAGGUUGAGAAGCAAUGUGCACAUUCCUAUUUAGUUACAAUCACGGUUACAAUCACAUAAGAGGAAGCAAGAGUUGGAUUUUUUUGCCGAGUGCAAUCAUCAUACAAAAUCAAAUGCAAGGUUCAAUUUUAAUCUUCUGCCAUUGAUUAAGGUUGGAUGCUAGUUAUGCUCAACUUACCGAUCUCAAGAUUUUUGUUUUUGCUAUAGGUAGAAUGACUUUUUUUGCAAUUAUUUUUGAAAUAUAUGAUCUAACUGGAUCUCAAAUUUAAAAGUACUUUGAAUUUACUAGAGUUUCAGUCAUGUUAUUUAUCUACUUUGUGAGAUCAUUAUUUCUUUACAAUAGCUCCCCAACUUUGAGCAA